CUUGUCGGCAUCGUGCUUUCUGCACCUCACUAAAGCUAAGCAGGGCUCCACCUGGUUAGUACCUGGAUGGGAGACCACAUGGGAAACUAGGUUGCUGUCAGAA
rnacentral:rRNA from 1 species